rnacentral:rRNA from 1 species
UACGUAGGGGGCUAGCGUUGUCCGGAAUUAUUGGGCGUAAAGAGCUCGUAGGCGGCUGUCCACGUCGGAUGUGAAAGCUCGGGGCUCAACCCUGAGAGGCCAUUCGAUACGGGACGGCUAGAGGUAGGUAGGGGAGAUUGGAAUUCCUGGUGUAGCGGUGAAAUGCGCAGAUAUCAGGAGGAACACCGGUGGCGAAGGCGGAUCUCUGGGCCUUACCUGACGCUGAGGAGCGAAAGCUGGGGGAGCGAACAGG